UACAAUCUUCAGGGCGGGGUGAAAUUCCCCACUGGCGGUAUAGCCCGCGAACCAUAAUGGUUGAUUCGGUGAAACUCCGAGGCCAACAGUACAGUCUGGAUGAAAGAAGAUAAUG
rnacentral:ncRNA from 2 species